AGGCUUUGAUCCUGGCUCAGAACGAACGCUGGCGGCGCGUUUUAAGCAUGCAAGUCGAACGGUAGAAGGGCUUCGGCUCUUUGAGAGUGGCGAACGGGUGAGUAACACGUAGGUGAUCUGCCUUAGUGUUGGGGAUAGUCUGUGGAAACAUGGGGUAAUACCGAAUAGGUUUCAUGUACUGUGGUACAAGAAGCAAAGGGGCUUCGGCCUCGCACUGGGAUGAGCCUGCGUCCGAUUAGCUAGUUGGUGGGGUAAUGGCCCACCAAGGCGACGAUCGGUAGCUGGUCUGAGAGGAUGAUCAGCCACACUGGGACUGAGACACGGCCCAGACUCCUACGGGAGGCAGCAGUGGGGAAUAUUGGACAAUGGGCGCAAGCCUGAUCCAGCAAUGCCGCGUGUGUGAAGAAGGCCUGCGGGUUGUAAAGCACUUUCAGUGGGGAGGAAAAGCGGGUGCCUAAUACGUGCCUGACUUGACGUUACCCUACAGAAGAAGCACCGGCUA
rnacentral:rRNA from 1 species